UACGUAGGGUGCAAGCGUUAAUCGGAAUUACUGGGCGUAAAGGGUGCGUAGGCGGUUGGGCAAGAAAGGUGUGAAAUCCCAGGGCUUAACCUUGGAAUGGCACUUUUGACUGCCCGGCUAGAGUAUGUCAGAGGGGGGUAGAAUUCCACGUGUAGCAGUGAAAUGCGUAGAGAUGUGGAGGAAUACCGAUGGCGAAGGCAGCCCCCUGGGAUAAUACUGACGCUCAUGCACGAAAGCGUGGGGAGCAAACAGG
rnacentral:rRNA from 1 species